rnacentral:lncRNA from 1 species
AAAUUUUCAGCUUUCCUAUUAAGGUAACUUUUGGAGAAUGACUUUUUUAAAGCGGUACUAAAUCAUCAAAGCCUAAUCAACACAAAUUUACACUACCAAGUAAUAUACAGCAACAAAAUCAAACUCUUGGGUUUGUAAAGAUGAAAACUGUAGUGCUUGCAAGAUGAAAACUGUAUAUUUUAAAAUAUAAUAUUUAAAUUUUAAUAUCAUAUUUGACAUUAUUAUUUUUUUAAAUAAUAAGGAUAUCAUUUUAUUUUGAACUAAUAAUAAGGACAUCAAGUCUACUUUACAUAUGUAUAUAUUAUAAAAUUCAGCAGAGGGGUAUAGGGUAAUGAUUGUUCUUCUAUUUCUUUCUUUUCUUUUUGGAGUAGGGAUAUAGGAUAUGUUUCUUUAAUAAUAAUAUUUCUUUUAUUUUCUUUUGUAGUCUAAAGAGUAGGAUGUUCAUUAUGAAGUUUAUAAGUAGUAACAUAUAUUAUAGACAUAGAAAAUCAGAAGAAAAAAAGCAAAGAGGUGAAAAGUACCUGAAAAUGUUUGAAGUUACACAAACUGGUUCAUCAAAUAAUGAUGCAACCUAUGGUAGUCCCUAGUUAAGUGGUGAAAUAUGUACAAACAUACAGUCUGAAUUAACAACAAAUAAAAAUAGAAGUUUAUGUGUGUUGCAACUUAAUGGUUAUUACCAUAUUUAGAUUUUAAAUUGGUUAUAGAAGAGAGAAAAAUAGAAGAAAAAACAGGAUCGUAUGAGAAAUACCUGAGAGUUGGAAGAAAUUAUUUUGUGAAGCCAAUAAAUUAUUGGUUCUAAUGAAACAAAUUCCAAGCCAAGGUGAGUAGUAGUAGUAGCAUGUUCUUCAAUAAACAACACAAUAAAAGUAGAAGUUCUGGUGAGUUAUUGGUUAUUAAGAGAUCUUAAAUUUGUUAUAGUAGAGAGAAAAAUGAAAAAAGAAAUAGAGAAAGGAUGAGAAAUACCUGAAAUGAGGAAUAAAUUAUUAGUUCUAAUGAAACAAAUUCCAACCCAAGAUGAGUAGUACUAAUAGCAAUAUGUGAGGGUGAUACCUAACUUUAACCCCAAUUACCUCAAGUAGUACUAAUAGCAUAUGAUUUAUGAAAAGUUGUUGGAAUAGAAUAAUUAAUCAUUGUUGUGAUGUGGAUGUGUGUUGAUGAUGUGCAGAGACUGAGAGGUCAUUCGUAGUACUAAAAGUUUUAUUAUUGAUAAUGCUUAGGAUUUGAUUAAGUGAGUUUGAGGCCCACCAAUAUUUUAUUUCUUGAAAAAUGCCCUUGAAUAUUGUCAUGAUAUAGAAAAUGGCAGUUUUGUAACUGUUGAAAACCUUCUUCAUUAACUAGUGUAAAUAAUGGCAGUUUUGUAACUUGGUGGUAUUGGUGUUCAGUUUUUUAACUGGCAUAAAAUGUGGCAUUAUCUUUGUUAAGUUUUUACCCAUGAUGAGGAUGAUUUUGCAUGAUAUGUUUACAUAGUUGGUUUUAUAUAGUAUCAGAGCAACUAUUUUAUGUGUUUUAUAUAAAUUUGACAGGCACGGUACAAUUCUCAAUUAUUUCUGACUAAUUACUAUUUUAUGUUCCCACUUUAAAUACUGUAAUAUAAAAUCUGCAUUGCAGUUGACAUGCUCUAAAUAUGUGCUUAUGGAUAUUUCUUUAUUGUUGUUUUUAUUAUCAGAGUGAUCCAUGAUUCUGGUUUCUCUUGAUGCUGCUGAGAUGGUAUAUUGAUUGAUGAUCAAUGAGGUGAUGCUGUGAUGCUGUGAGGCUAUUUUGGAGUUUCAUAUUAUUUUCAAUUUUUAAUGAAGUUGGAUAUUUCUUCUAUGGUACAAACAAUAGAAGAAACUUUUGGUAGAAAUUAAAAAAUAGUGAGGGGUAAAAUAGCGAUUCAGAAAUUACACCAUAGUGUGAUGGUUAUACUAUGUAUUUUAUAUUUUAUUAUCUUAGCAUAUCACUUUUGUUUUGCAGUUUAAAAUUUGGGUAUAAUAUGGAAGUUACUUUAAUAAUAGAGCA